GACAGUGAUCAUACCACGUUGAAAGUACUAGUUCUCGUCUGAUCACUGAAGUCACGCAAUGUUGGGCACAGUUGGUACUUGGGCGGUUUUACCACUUGGGUUUUAUACCGUGUGCUGUCG
rnacentral:rRNA from 1 species